rnacentral:rRNA from 1 species
CGCUGGCGGCAGUCCUACCAUGGGAGAGAACGGCGCACGGGUGCUUGCACCUGGUGGCGAGUGGUUUUACCGGUGAUAAUACAUCGGAACGUACCUUAUCGUGGGGGAUAACGCAGCGAAAGCUGUGCUAAUACCGCAUACGCCCUGAGGGGGAAAGCGGGGGAUCGCAAGACUCGCGCGAUUAGAGCGGCCGAUGCCUGAUUAGCUUGUUGGUGGGGUAAAAGCCCACCAAGGCGACGAUCAGUAGCUGGUCUGAGAGGACGAUCAGCCACACUGGGACUGAGACACGGCCCAGACUCCUACGGGAGGCAGCAGUGGG